UAUAACUAGCUUCCUGCAGGAAUUGUAUAGUGGAAAGUUCCAUUGAAGAGGACAAUGAGAUAUACGAUGAAUGCUUUCUUUGGAAGGUUGACAUCUCCACAAAUCCCAUGAUCCUUGUUCUAGACCUCAUACAUCCAGGGUUGUACUAGGCCAGCGGGACAGCGGGAAAACCAGACCUGAUCCCUGCCACGAAGCAUUGGUGCUCCCACUCAGACCUCCCUCCCCUGAUCAUGGCUAGGGAGCCAGAUUUACACAGAUCAGCUGGGAUUCUCUCAGCCAUGGGCCCUGGAGAAUUUGGGGAAAGUUUUGAAAAGGUUUUAUUGUGCAGUAUUGCUUUAAGAAUACAUAUCCUGAAAUGGGAACAAGACUUCAACUCAACAUCCACAACAUCUCAGUGGCUUCAAGCAGCCAACGUAUUCCAAAUGUACCAAACACAUAGAAAAUCAAAGAAAAAUCCUAUACAGAUGGUACAAGAUGCACCCAAGCACCUCUGCAACCUGCUGGAGAUGUAACAAAACAAAAGGCACAUUAAUUCACAUUUGGUGGAACUGCCCGGCACUUACCCCCUUCUGGAAAGAGGUCUCCCAACUGCUUUAUGAAGUAACAAGGAUACCAAUUCCACUUACUGCUCCCCUGGCAUUACUCAAUCACGGACUACAAAACAUACCCCAAGAUUUUAGAAAACUAACUUUCCACAUAAUCACCUCAGCCAGGCAACUAAUACCACGACAGUGGAAAUCCAACACAAUACCAACCAAGGAGGAGUUGGUUAACUACACAGACUCUAAUCUCACCUAUGAAAAAUAUGCAGUGUCAAACACCUCACUAUCACCUACGGAUAAGAUAACCCAUCAAAAAUGGCAAACAUGGAAAUCCAAGUUCCACAAAAACCAAUAGCGGAAAAAAUAAAGCCGAUAUAAACACCCAACAAUCAACAGAUACCCAACUUCACCAGUACAGAGAAGGAACCAACAGAAGCACCCUGGAACAAGUAGCCAAUAACUAUGGACAAUGGGUAUCAACAAUUAUUCUUUCUUUUUAUUGCUUAUCUUUUUAUUAAAGGAGAAAGAAAGGUAAAAACUAAGUAAG